rnacentral:lncRNA from 1 species
GUGAGGGAUCUCAUCGCUGUGACUCCUCGGAGACCUUGGCAGCCUCGCACGCCGGGGCACCGCUUGGGUCAGAAAGGACCUCGGAAGGCUGAAAAAGUGGGUCGGAGACGGGCUCGCAUUGUUCCCGCAUGCUGUCAGCCGCAGUCGCCAACUGGCAGCAGGCGACGUGUAGCAGAUGUCCGGGAGGACAAAGGCAGGCACGGUCCCCACCAGCCGCCCGUAAUUGACGGCCUUUGUCAGCCAUGGCAGAGCUGACGCUCCACCUCCCACCUCCAAGUCCUCCUCACUGCAGCCCCCACAGCCUCAGGCCUAGGGGGUCAGGCGCAGCGGGGGAGAUGGAGUUUGCAGUUCCACUUGCACUCUUUUGUUUAUUGUGUUUUAUUUUUCAAAAGUCGGUUGCUUUGAAGUCUCUUUGGCCAAUGAAAAUGCCCGUGAUGUGAUCACACAGUCAGCACUGUUGAGGACCCCCGGAUUAGUGGGAGAUCAAACCCAGCUCCCCUCUAGAAGAAGGAUUCGAGCCACAGACAGCUUGCCAGUAGCCAAUUAGGGUGUGGAGCCUUUGCCUGUCUCUAAAAAGAGCCUGUUGGCGACAAGGUGUAGGGGGCACAAGUUUACCUGAAACAGAUAUGGAAGGAAAACGUUAAGACUAUUUUUUUUUUAAAGAAACAACAGUCAAGCCUAAAAUUUGAGACCCCGAGGCAGCUUCCCGAGGGAGACUGCUCAGACAGGAACUGCAGGACAGAAGUGGAUGCCCCACAGACCCUGGCCCCCUCCCCAAGUCCAUCCCCUCUCUGUGGCAUGAGGAAGGCCGCGUCCGAGUUGACCUCUGAAUGUAUGUGAUGAGAGGCAGAGCUGGAUAUUGCAUUUCUAAGGCUUGCAUUGCUUUCCCCUCGCCCGCGGUUCUUGGCGCAUGGAAGAGGCGGUCCAGCCAUCUGAUGUUGAUCCUGUCUCA